ACAAGAAGAAGAAUCUCA
rnacentral:sRNA from 1 species